GGCCCGGUACAGCCCGCCAAGCCCGCUAAAGCCCGUCUAGCGACUCCCGUAUAAAACCUAACCCUAAUACCUUGUUCCUCGGCCCGUGGCUAGACCCUACUCCCGAUUCCCCAUCGUCUCCCACGCAUCGCCGCCACCCACCAUCUGUUCGCCUCCGUCCUCUUGCAGCUCGCCGCCAGCCCUCCCCCUUCCCUCCUCCUACCUCGCAACUCCGGCAGCUUCCAGAUCCGCCAGACCCCCACCCAACCAUCCCUCCAGCAACCCAUCUGUCUCUCCCUCAUGCGACCACUCGCGUCGCGACUAACGUCCGCCGAUUCCGGCGACGUCGGCCACCACGUAACACACUCACGACCUGGUCUCCGACCUCUCCGUCCUCCAGACCGGCUGGAUCCGCCGAUCCCGGUCUCCGGUGCUCGCCUGCGGGCUCUAUCCCAUGGCUAGGGUUUGGCUGCGGCGUCACGUCCAUCGACGGCGUGUCUCCGGCGGCUCCUCUCCGUCGCACACCGCAGCCCCUCGCGCCCUCUCUGCCUUAUGGAUGGCGCCCCAUAGCUCGGUACGCGCGCGCGCAUUGGGCUCGACGGCAGAGACCCCCGACCUCCUCUUCCGCGUCUGCGGCACGGCCGUGCAUCCUGUGACGACCCCCUCUACUGCGCGACGGCGGUGGCUGACCUGCACUGCCACAGCUGCAUCAUCUACAAGCCUCUUUGUGUCAAAGCAUGUGCUGUCAGUGGCAGCAAAUGUUCAGUUUAGCUACUGCCUGCUGGACCUGUAGAGGUUUAUAUUGUGAUGACAACAAAAGGUAUUUCAUUUUAGUUGGCACAUUUCAAGGACUAGUAAUUUGGUGUCUGAUAUAUGUGUUUUAGUCUUACCAAUGCAAAGAUGAAAAAUAUGUUCCUUUUAUUAUUAUCCAAAGGGUGGUCAGUGUUGCACAACUUCAGGUUUCUAAUGCUAGUUCAUUAAUUCCAAGUAAUAAAUAGAUACUUGUUACUUUAUGCAUGACAAACCUCAGGUACAUCAUGAAGAAACGGAAAGUAGUGUGCGUCUACCCAUUGUACAUUGCUCCUCCUUAGUUCAGUUAGUAUGCAAUUGAAUUAAUUCUUUAAGAAUUUAGUUAGUCAAUUUAGACAUUUGGGAAGGCAUAGUUCUUUAAGAAUUUGGUUCAAUUGAGACAACAUUUGCAUUUCAGUAAUAAUGAAAUGAAACCGCAUAUCCAAUUGUCACACUAAUAUCUUUGCUUUGCACAUUAUAGUCAGUACAUCUUCCACCUGAUCGACGCCAACGACACCGUCCUCGAGCAGAACAGGGUGAGCUUGAUACCCUUCCAUUCUUGAUGUGAAUUAUUCAGGUUGUAGAUUUGAGCUGUUCAAGGUCUGGACUGUUGUGAGUUGUUCAAGGUGUGGACUGUUUUGUGGUUCUAGUGAAAUUAUAACUGUACAGAUAUUUUUGUGUGCAUAAAAUCUGCAUUGGACAAUGUCCCUGAUAUCAUGCAUUGUAUCGACACUCUACUAGACCUGCUACCUCUUGGUGUUCAUGGGUUCCGAUUCUACUUGUAUCUUAACAACCAUUAUUAAUUGCUUUUGCCAUGUAAUAAAAUAACUUGUAGUUCUUGUGCAAGCCGAUGAAAGUUUGCUACGCAUGCACAAGUCUUCCAGUUCUUACUCCUAUCACCUUGUUUACAAAUGUAUUGGUUCAUUUCAUGAUUGUUUCCUGUUAUAAAUAAUAGUACUCUCAAUGCUGAUCAAGUGGUAAACCCCUAGCCCUGAGCAUAUAGAAUCGUUAUGAACAGAAGUAACAUGGAUAAUAGACUAGGUUUUCUACCCAUCCUUGAAUAUAAGCGAAGCAUGAUCAAUUCAAGCCGCGCUUUCCUAACUAUUAGUUCACUGUUUAUCAAGCAUUUUCUUGUUUCAUAGUUCACUACAGUACAGAUUUACAAGUACACAUCUUACUACUCCAGAAAAACUAAGUACUUGUACAGGCACGCACAGCUUCCUCUCACAAAAAACAAACUAAGUGCCUGUCUCUCCCACUUUUGUUCUCAUUUCUUUUAGAGUACAGAAAUGUUUGAUCCUGAUAAACUAAAUACCUGUACAGGCGCACUGCUUCCUCUCAGAAAAUAAACUAAGUACCUCUCUCUAUCACGUUUGUUUGCUUCUUUGAGAAAUCUGUUUGCUAGGCCACAAAAUAGACAGCUCCUUGUUAGCCCAUGCACUUACUAUCUAUUCGGUCGAGAACCGAUGACCUGACCAACCGCUGCUGCUAUUGUUCUUUUAGUUCUGUGGUGUAUGUUUGUUACUUGUUACUUGUAGGCAAAGUUAUAUUGUACUUUCGUUUGACACACUUUUCUUUGGACUAAAUUUUUGAACUUGCAACUGGUCUGAUUGUUUUCAUGUGCGUUGCCCAAAUUUAAGUGGUACCAUAAUAUAGUAGUGGUGUUUCCAUGGAUGAUUGCUUGGAAAAUCAACUAAUGUUAUUACUCUUUGGAUUAAUUUGGGAGCUUGCUUUUAUAACUUAUGGCACCCAAUGUACCGUAAUAUAUGUAGCUGCAGUAGAUGAACUUCAGCUACUCCAGCUGACAUAUAUUAUGGUACAGAGGGAGUAUAAUUUUUAGUUUGUUUUGAUUCUAUGCAGGUCUGGUGGUUAAUCUGUGUUAGUGGAGAUUGAAGGUUUCUAGAUAUGCUUGUGAUGUUUUGAUAUUAAGCUUUGUUUUUCUAAACAGACUAGAUUGUUGGAACUCUGUAUUGUCAUGUAAACAAUUUCUAUUUUUGAAUGAAUAAAAAUUGGUUGUCUUGUUGUGAA